rnacentral:rRNA from 1 species
AUUGAACGCUGGCGGCAGGCCUAACACAUGCAAGUCGAGCGGAUGAAGGGAGCUUGCUCCUGGAUUCAGCGGCGGACGGGUGAGUAAUGCCUAGGAAUCUGCCUGGUAGUGGGGGAUAACGUCCGGAAACGGGCGCUAAUACCGCAUACGUCCUGAGGGAGAAAGUGGGGGAUCUUCGGACCUCACGCUAUCAGAUGAGCCUAGGUCGGAUUAGCUAGUUGGUGGGGUAAAGGCCUACCAAGGCGACGAUCCGUAACUGGUCUGAGAGGAUGAUCAGUCACACUGGAACUGAGACACGGACCAGACUCCUACGGGAGGCAGCAGUGGGGAAUAUUGGACAAUGGGCGAAAGCCUGAUCCAGCCAUGCCGCGUGUGUGAAGAAGGUCUUCGGAUUGUAAAGCACUUUAAGUUGGGAGGAAGGGCAGUAAGUUAAUACCUUGCUGUCUUGACGUUACCAACAGAAUAAGCACCGGCUAACUUCGUG